rnacentral:rRNA from 1 species
GUGUCAGCCGCCGCGGUAAGACGUAGGGUGCGAGCGUUGUCCGGAGUUACUGGGCGUAAAGGGCGCGUAGGCGGGUGCCCGCGUCGCACGUGAAAGCCCCCGGCUCAACCGGGGAGGGUCGUGCGAAACGGGGUACCUGGAGGCAGUGAGAGGCUGGUGGAAUUCCCGGAGUAGUGGUGAAAUGCGUAGAGAUCGGGAGGAACACCGGUGGCGAAGGCGGCCAGCUGGCACUGACCUGACGCUGAGGCGCGAAGGCUUGGGGAGCGAACGGGAUUAGAAACCCCGGUAGUCC